GGGUUGACCACUCCUCUCGCCUCCAAUACUGUCGUUGACAUUCUCGUCUAUGCUCCGGCAGCCGUAGCUCACUCCGGUGGAGGCGGGACUUCCUACAGCACUUCCGGCCAGAGCCUAAAGCUUCGCUGCUGUGCAGUGCGCUGGAGGGGCAGCUGCUCCGAACACUUGGAGUCUCCGCGGGCAGAUCUCAUAUUUUGGAUUCUGGAUAUAUUAUAAUGAGUGACACUUUGACACCGGAUGUCAUUGGUCGAAGAGUUGAAGUUAAUGGAGAACAUGCAACAGUACGUUUUGCUGGUGUCGUCCCUCCUGUGGCAGGACCCUGGUUAGGAGUAGAAUGGGACAAUCCCGAGAGAGGAAAGCAUGAUGGGAGCCACGAAGGGACUGUGUAUUUUAAAUGCAGGCACCCAACAGGAGGAUCCUUUGUUCGUCCGAAUAAGGUAAAUUUUGGAACAGACUUUCUUACUGCAAUUAAGAACCGCUAUGUGUUAGAAGAUGGACCAGAGGAAGAUAGAAAAGAACAAAUUGUUACACUUGGAAAUAAACCUGUGGAGACUGUUGGUUUUGACUCUCUUAUGAAACAGCAAAGUCAGCUGAGCAAGUUGCAAGAAGUUUCUCUGAGGAACUGUGCAGUAAGUUGUGCUGGUGAAAAAGGAGGAGUUGCCGAAGCAUGUCCUAAUAUUAGAAGGGUAGAUUUGUCAAAAAACCUGUUGUCAUCAUGGGAUGAAGUGAUCCACAUUGCUGAUCAGCUCAGACACCUGGAAGUCCUUAAUCUCAGUGAAAAUAAACUAAAAUUUCCCUCCGGUUCAGCAUUAACUGGAACGUUUUCUGCACUGAAGGUUUUAGUCCUCAAUCAAACAGGAAUAACGUGGGCUGAGGUGCUGCGGUGUGCCGCGUGGUGCCCGGGCCUGGAGGAACUCUACCUGGAGUCUAACAAUAUUGUCAUUUCCGAAAGGCCAACAGAUGUUCUCCAGACAGUCAAGUUAUUAGACCUUUCCUCUAAUCAAUUAAUUGAUGAAAAUCAGCUGUAUCUGAUAGCCCACCUGCCCAGGUUAGAACAAUUAAUCCUCUCUGACAUUGGAAUUUCUUCUAUACAUUUUCCGGAUGCUGGAAUUGGGUGCAAAACCUCCAUGUUCCCGUCCUUGCAGUACCUUGUAGUAAAUGACAAUCAGAUAUCACAAUGGUCAUUUUUCAAUGAGCUAGACAAGUUACCAAGUCUACGGGCUUUGUCCUGCCUAAGAAACCCCCUGACCAAGGAGGACAAAGAAGCAAACAUGACGCGGCAGCUCAUUAUUGCCAGCAUUGGCCAGCUGAAGACCCUGAACAAAUGUGAGAUUCUCCCCAAGGAGAGGCGGACAGCUGAGCUUGACUAUCGAAAAGCUUUUGGAAAUGAGUGGAAACAGGCUGGUGGACAUCAGGAUCCGGACAAAAACAGACUCAGCGAAGAAUUCCUCAGAGCCCAUCCUAGAUACCAGUUCCUCUGCCUGAAAUAUGGUGCACCUGAAGAUUGGGAACUCAAAACACAACAACCAUUUAUGCUCAAAAACCAGCUACUAACACUGAAGAUAAAAUACCCUGAUCAACUUGAUCAGAAAGUCCUAGAGAAACAACUGCCGGAUACGUCAAAUCAAUUAAUGGGAAUGUCACCACUAUGGAGUAUUUGCUCAAGAAUAUUGUCAUCAGACCUGCUUCGUUAAGCUUUCCUCUGCAGUCUUCCUCUGGAAGGCACUGAGGCUCCAUGACAAUUCAAAAGGUGAAGGGAUGGCUGUCACGUCUUCUCAAAGUUCCUGUGUCAGACCUUCUGUUGUCCUAUGAAAGUCCAAAAGAGCCGGGCAUAGAAAUCAAGCUGGAAAAUGACCUACAGUCAUUACGUUUUUAUUCUGUGGAAAAUGAAGAUUGUCUAUUAGUGCGAUGGUAACAACCAACUAAUAAAAUUUAGAGACUACACUGCUUAUCAUGUCUGGGGUUCAUCGGAAAUAAAUGAUCCACUGGAACAAUUCUGUCAAAAACAAAGGGGUUUACAACUUGCCCUAAGGAUAACAAGGGAUUUAUUUUCACCACUGAUGUAGUUUUUGUUGGGAAGCGACCAUUUCUAGGCUUAUACAUAAUAGCAGUAAUAAAGGCUUUGAACCUACUAACAA